UACGGGGGGGGGCAAGCGUUGUUCGGAAUUACUGGGCGUAAAGGGCUCGUAGGCGGCCAACUAAGUCAGACGUGAAAUCCCUCGGCUUAACCGGGGAACUGCAUCUGAUACUGGAUGGCUUGAGUUCGGGAGAGGGAUGCGGAAUUCCAGGUGUAGCGGUGAAAUGCGUAGAGAUGUGGAGGAACACCGAUGGCGAAGGCAGCCUUCUGGGCCAAUACUGACGCUCAUGCACGAAAGCGUGGGGAGCAAACAGG
rnacentral:rRNA from 1 species